GACGAACGCUGGCGGCGUGCCUAACACAUGCAAGUCGAACGGGGUUGAGCCCUUCGGGACUCAACUUAGUGGCGAACGGGUGAGUAACGCGUGAGAAACCUGCCUUUCAGUGGGGGACAACAGUUGGAAACGACUGCUAAUACCGCAUAACGUAUUUAGGGGGCAUCCCUUGAAUACCAAAGCUUUAUGUGCUGAAAGAUGGUCUCGCGUCUGAUUAGCUAGAUGGCGGGGUAACGGCCCACCGUGGCGACGAUCAGUAGCCGGUCUGAGAGGAUGAACGGCCACAUUGGGACUGAGAUACGGCCCAGACUCCUACGGGAGGCAGCAGUGGGGAAUAUUGGGCAAUGGGGGAAACCCUGACCCAGCAACGCCGCGUGAAGGAAGAAGGCCUUCGGGUUGUAAACUUCCUUUUAGUAGGGACGAAGAACGUGACGGUACCUACAGAAAAAGCAACGGCUAACUACGUGCCAGCCGCCGCGGUAACAC
rnacentral:rRNA from 1 species